rnacentral:rRNA from 1 species
UACGGGGGGGGCAAGCGUUGUUCGGAAUUACUGGGCGUAAAGGCUCGUAGGUGGCCAACUAAGUCAGACGUGAAAUCCCCCGGCUUAACCGGGGAACUGCGUCUGAUACUGGAUGGCUUGAGUUCGGGAGAGGGAUGCGGAAUUCCAGGUGUAGCGGUGAAAUGCGUAGAUAUCUGGAGGAACACCGGUGGCGAAGGCGGCAUCCGUGGACCGACACUGACGCGAGGAGCGAAGCCAGG